rnacentral:rRNA from 1 species
AUACGGAGGAUCCAGGCGUUAUCCGGAAUCAUUGGGUUUAAAGGGUCCGGAGGCGGGUUUGGAAGUCAGUGGUGAAAGUUUUCGGCUCAACCGGAAAAUUGCCAUUGAUACUGCAAGUCUUGAAUCAUUAUGAAGUGGUUAGAAUGUGUAGUGUAGCGGUGAAUGCAUAGAUAUUACACAGAAUACCGAUUGCGAAGGCAGAUCACUAAUAAUGUAUUGACGCUAAGGGACGAAAGCGUGGGUAGCGAACAGGAUUAGAAACCCUAGUAGUCC